GGCCCGGUGGCUCAGUUGGGUAGAGCGCCGCCCUGUCACGGCGGAGGUCAUGGGUUCGAGCCCCAUUCGGGUCG
rnacentral:tRNA from 1 species